rnacentral:rRNA from 1 species
AGAAUCAACGCUGGCGGCGUGCCUAACACAUGCAAGUCGAACGAGAAAGGGGAGCAAUCCCUGAGUAAAGUGGCGCACGGGUGAGUAACACGUGACUAACCUACCCUUGAGUGGGGGAUAACCUAGGGAAACCUGGGCUAAUACCGCAUAAUACCUUCGGGUCAAAGGAGCAAUUCGCUUAAGGAGGGGGUCGCGGCCGAUUAGUUAGUUGGCGGGGUAAUGGCCCACCAAGACUGUGAUCGGUAUCCGG